rnacentral:rRNA from 1 species
GAACGCGAAGAACCUUACCUGGCCUUGACAUAGUAGAGACUUUCCAGAGAUGGAUUGGUGCCUUCGGGAAUCUACAUACAGGUGCUGCAUGGCUGUCGUCAGCUCGUGUCGUGAGAUGUUGGGUUAAGUCCCGCAACGAGCGCAACCCUUUUCCUUACUUGCCAGCAUUUCGGAUGGGAACUUUAAAGGAUACUGCCAGUGACAAAGCUGGAGGAAGGCGGGGACGACGUCAAGUCAUCAUGGCCCUUACGGCCAGGGCUACACACGUGCUACAAUGGUCGGUACAAAGGGUUGCUACACAGCGAUGUGAUGCUAAUCUCAAAAAGCCGAUCGUAGUCCGGAUCGCAGUCUGCAACUCGACUGCGUGAAGUCGGAAUCGCUAGUAAUCGCGGAUCAGAAUGCCGCGGUGAAUACGUUCCCGGGUCUUGUACACACC